AUUGAACGCUGGCGGCAUGCCAUACACAUGCAAGUCGAACGGUAACAGGUCUUCGGAUGCUGACGAGUGGCGAACGGGUGAGUAAUACAUCGGAACGUGCCUAGUAGUGGGGGAUAACUACUCGAAAGAGUGGCUAAUACCGCAUGAGAUCUACGGAUGAAAGCAGGGGAUCGCAAGACCUUGUGCUACUAGAGCGGCCGAUGGCAGAUUAGGUAGUUGGUGGGAUAAAAGCUUACCAAGCCGACGAUCUAUAGCUGGUCUGAGAGGACGAUCAGCCACACUGGGACUGAGACACGACCCAGACUCCUACGGGAGGCAGCAGUGGGGAAUUUUGGACAAUGGGCGAAAGCCUGAUCCAGCAAUGCCGCGUGCAGGAUGAAGGCCUUCGGGUUGUAAACUGCUUUUGUACGGAACGAAAAGCCCCGGGUUAAUACCCUGGGGUCAUGACGGUACCGUAAGAAUAAGCACCAGCUAACUACGUGCCAGCCGCCGCCGUAA
rnacentral:rRNA from 1 species